CCUAGGGUGGCUGCAGUGGGGAAUAUUGGACAAUGGGCGAAAGCCUGAUCCAGCCAUGCCGCGUGUGUGAAGAAGGCCUUCGGGUUGUAAAGCACUUUCAGUGGGGAAGAAAGCCUUGGGGCUAAUACCCUCGAGGAAGGACAUCACCCACAGAAGAAGCACCGGCUAACUCUGUGCCAGCAGCCGCGGUAAUACGGAGGGUGCGAGCGUUAAUCGGAAUUACUGGGCGUAAAGCGCGCGUAGGCGGUCUGAUAAGCCGGUUGUGAAAGCCCCGGGCUCAACCUGGGAACGGCAUCCGGAACUGUCAGGCUAGAGUGCAGGAGAGGAAGGUAGAAUUCCCGGUGUAGCGGUGAAAUGCGUAGAGAUCGGGAGGAAUACCAGUGGCGAAGGCGGCCUUCUGGACUGACACUGACGCUGAGGUGCGAAAGCGUGGGUAGCAAACAGGAUUAGAUACCCCGGUAGUC
rnacentral:rRNA from 1 species